UACGGAGGGUGCGAGCGUUGUCCGGAAUCACUGUGCGUAAAGGGCGCGUCGGUGGCCCCUUAAGUGUGUGGUGAAAGCCCGGGGCUCAACCCCGGGUCGGCCAUGCAAACUGGGGGGCUGGAGCACUGUAGAGGCAGGCGGAAUUCCGGGUGUAGCGGUGGAAUGCGUAGAGAUCCGGAAGAACACCGGUGGCGAAGGCGGCCUGCUGGGCAGUUGCUGACACUGAGGCGCGACAGCGUGGGGAGCAAACAGG
rnacentral:rRNA from 1 species